rnacentral:tRNA from 1 species
CGGGGAGUAGCGCAGUCUGGUAGCGCACCUGCUUUGGGAGCAGGGGGCCGGAGGUUCGAAUCCUCUCUCCCCGACCA